UCGCACUGUGUUGUAGUUGCAGCACGCUU
rnacentral:piRNA from 1 species